GCCGUAAUGACCAUAUACGUACAUUCAAAAUUUCAGCUUUUCUUUAAAAUUGUACAGAGUAGAGCGGCGGGGUAUCAUGGUCAGGCUCAUGGUACUAGCUCGUCACCAGGUCGUCGGCUGAAAGCGAUUUGUUUGGCAUUGUUCUUUCAAACUUAACAACCACAUGGUAUAAAAAAAAAAAAAAAAAAAAAAAAAAUCGUUCUUCGUAGCUGUUCUCUUGGUUCAUGUUCCAACAGUCUGAUGCAAUAUUGUUGGUGGUUCUUUCAAACGCAGGAUUAUCACAGCGGAGCGGAGCACGGCCUUGCAUUCCUGCCUACACUUUGGCGUCAGCUCACUGGCACCAAGAGUAUUACGAGUCACAUUUUUGUAUACAGACAGAAUAAUCUUAGGAAGUCAAAGGUCAAAAUCAGACGCAAUACACAUGUCUGCAGUGUUUGUGGAAAUGAUAUAAUACAUUUGCCUUUAAAACAACUAACGGUAUUGAACAACAUUAUGCUCCUCUUUUCAGUAUUUCCAUCAUGAGCCCUACAUUGUCCGUAUUGCGAAUACACAUGAUGAUGAUGAUGACGAUAACAGCAACAACAAUUGUUAUUAUCAUUAAUAUUAUUAUUAUUGUAAUGAUCAUUAUAAUCAUUAUCAUGUUAUGUAAUGUUAGUAUGUGUGUGUCGGUGGGGGAACGGGGCGGGGGUUGUCAGUGAGGCGUGACUCUGGGACGGACUCACGUGUGUGAAUGAGGAAGCCUCCCCAUGUCAUUAUCGUUACAGCGGACAACACCCAGCCGCCCCCACCACGCCGCGGCUGUGGCCAGUGUUUCCACGGCCGCGUUCGAGCAUCAUCGGUGGGUGUGCAAAGAAAAUUAAUCAAAACACUAUCAAUUUUUCUGCUUUAAAGACAAUACAACAUGAAAGAGGAAAACAUGGAAUAAUCUUCAGGUAAUUUCACUGUUGUGCAGAAGUGAGUGACUGUGCAAUCUAAAGGGCAAGGUGUGUCCGGUGAUGAUCGCGAGGUAACACUCAGGAUCUCAAGUGAAGGGCGAUGAAACCUGUUGACAUACUGAAAACAUAACUGACGUUGAUAUGAUGGUUCACUGUGCAAAACACAACGCUAUGAGCCUGAUGCUGGUAUCACUGCUCUAGCGGCCUCUCUCCUCAGGAUUCUGCAGCGCCCAGACAUGUGACACAAAGACGUGGUAGGGAGAUACGUGCAUGUCUCACGUCAAUGCUCUCAAGACAGUCCUCGCACAUCACUAUUUCGCCCGGGAGUGCAGCACUAACUGGACUUUUCAUCACCACUACGAAGGCAGGAACAACGAAAACGACCAGACUCUUUCAUAUUUUCAAAAGGUGUGCGUGAUGGUGGUGACGCUGGGCAGGUGCGGGGUGAGGUGCGGCAAGGCGGUGCUGCUCGUCUUCAACCUCGUCUUCUUCGUGACGGGCCUGGCGGUGAUAGUGGUGGGCGUGUGGUGCGUGGCUGGCGAUGGACGUGACGUGAUGCUGGUCCUAGCCCCCACACCUGACCACCUGCCCACUCUCAUUCACCUGGCGUACGGCUUGGUGGGAGCGGGCGGAGUGGUGCUUCUCACGUCCGUGUUGGGCGUGUGGGCAGCCCUAAAGGAGAACAAAUGUGGUUUAGGAUGGUACGUGUUGGUGGUGGUGGCGGUGAUCAGCGGGGAGGUGGCAGUAGGGGUGUUGGGGGUGGUGUACCAGCUGCGUGCUGUACAUAACCUGGGAACGUCUCUCACCGAGCGGCUCAAGGCCCACUAUGCCGCGCCAGGCCACGAGACCUUCACCCUCGCUGUCGACUAUGUGCAAUACCAGCUUCAGUGUUGCGGUGUGGGCGGCCCGGAGGACUGGAAGGAGAGCACCUGGUUCCUGGAAGGUGUGGGUGGUACUGGCCGUGUCGUACCCCUGACCUGCUGCAGCCUUCACCUCGCCCCUGCCGCCUAUGUCAACCCAAAGCCCCUCAACACCACCCUGUGUCAAAGUGAUGAGCCGAUCGCACAACAAAUUGCCCGCCAUCAGAAGCGGCCUUCACGCACCUCAUGCUCCCCAACACGAACACGUCAGCUAUAAGUGCCACGGCCAGUCAGAACUCAACGCCGGUCCAGCAGGUGGAGCCACGCAAGACUUCCAGCUCUUUUCAUCUGCAGUGGACAUUUGGUUUUGUCGAUGAAGGCAGAUUUUUUCUCUCCUGCUUGGAGAGCGCGGGGGUGAGCCAUGUGUGAAGAGUUGCCAUCUCCGCAGUCCUCGUGCCGGCCGGUGACAGGCAGGUGAAGGCAAAGAAGUGUGUGGACGUGCCAGCGCUUCGAAAGAAAACAAAAAGAUUAAUAAAGUUGUGCAUGAUAGAAAAGUGAUGUACAGAAGACAAUAAACCUUAAGUCAUGCCAAUGUGAAUGUACAGGAUAGUGACGGAAAGGAUGAAGAUUAUAUGAAAGAAGCACACAGUUAAUAAAUGUAGUAGAGAUUAUAUGAAAAGUGAAAAAAAAGACAGGAAAUAAAUGCAAAAUUGGAAAACAAAACAAGCACAAAACAAAAAAAGUUAGAUAAUAUAUAAGAAAGCAAGAAAAUUGUUUCAUGAGAGGGUAUGGGAACAUAGAACACAGGGACCAUGAGGAAAAUUAAAGGAGUUACUCGAGAGAAGGACGACAAAAGGGAAAGUCGCUUAGUGGCUUACUGCAAGCGCCAUUUCCAUGAACUGCAAGGUCCCUGAGUCUACAAACGCCUUAUUAACUGCUGCGAGUAGCACGCACGGUGGGGACGCAAUACUGAAUCCUCUAUUUCUUCCUGCCCUUUCAAGAAAAUGAAAAAUAGCAGAGUGAGGUACGCAAGGAAGAAUUAUGAAGAUGAGAACGAAGAAGACGACGACGAUCCUGACGACGACAACGACGACGACGACGACGAAGAGGAGAAGGAGGAGGAGGUAGAGGAGGAGA
rnacentral:misc_RNA from 1 species